rnacentral:rRNA from 1 species
GAUGAACGCUGGCGGCGUGCCUAAUACAUGCAAGUCGAGCGAACGGACGAGAAGCUUGCUUCUCUGAUGUUAGCGGCGGACGGGUGAGUAACACGUGGAUAACCUACCCAUAAGACUGGGAUAACUUCGGGAAACCGUAGCUAAUACCGGAUAAUAUUUUGAACCGCAUGGUUCAAAAGUGAAAGACGGUCUUGCUGUCACUUAUAGAUGGAUCCGCGCUGCAUUAGCUAGUUGGUAAGGUAACGGCUUACCAAGGCAACGAUGCAUAGCCGACCUGAGAGGGUGGUUGCUCACACUGUAACUGAGACACGUCCCACACACCUAGGGGAGGCCGCAGUCGGGAAUCCUCCGCAAUGCGCCAGUGCCUGACGUUGCAACGCCGCGUAAUUGAUGAAGCUCUUCGGCUCCUAAAUCGCUGUUAUUCGUGAGGAUGUUAUGUGUAAGUAACUGUGCACAUCUUGACUGUACCUAAUCAGUAAGCCCCGGCUAACUACGUG